UACGAAGGGAGCUAGCGUUGUUCGGAUUUACUGGGCGUAAAGGGCGCGUAGGCGGCCACCGCAAGUCGACUGUGAAAUCUCCGGGCUUAACCCGGAAAGGUCAGCCGAUACUGCGGGGCUAGAGUGCAGAAGGGGCAACUGGAAUUCUCGGUGUAGCGGUGAAAUGCGUAGAUAUCGAGAGGAACACCUGCGGCGAAGGCGGGUUGCUGGGCUGACACUGACGCUGAGGCGCGAAAGCGAGGGGAGCGAACGGG
rnacentral:rRNA from 1 species